GAAAUGCGAUAAGUAAUGUGAAUUGCAGAAUUCAGUGAAUCAUCGAAUCUUUGAACGCAACUUGCGCCCUUUGGUAUUCCGAAGGGCAUGCCCGUUUGAGUGUCAUGGUAUUCUCAAAGCCCUCUUCAUUUUUUNNNGAUGUUGGUGCUUUGGAUUUGGAAGUCUCUUUGCAGGUUUAGUAAUAAAUCUGCUCCUCUUGAAUGUAUUAGCUGGAAAUCUUUGCUCAGAUCUAGCUUCAGUGUGAUAAUUGUCUACGCUGUAGCUGUCUAAGCACAUGUAUGGAAUUCCGCUUCUAGUUGUCUUUUACGACAGAUUGUAAUGAUCUUUUGACAUCUGACCUCAAAUCGGGUAGGACUACCCGCUGAACUUAA
rnacentral:rRNA from 1 species